AUGGCAGUUUUUGCCAGACAUGGGAACUGUGAUGACUAUAGGGUGAUCCUACUGCAGAUUUUUUUAGAUAAUUGGGGCAUUAAUGCAAAUGGGGUCACUGAUGGAACAAUAAACAACGGCAUUAUUAGAGCAAAUCUCACUGUAGGAUUUUUCUUUAAUAUUGAAAUUGUUGCUAUCAACUCAUUUUUCAUAUUAAAGUGCCGUGUGAGGGCCCACUUGCCCUCCAGCGCUUAUCCAGUCAUCAACACAUCAACAAUUAGCAAUCAUCACCGUACUAGAAAGACCCGUGGGAGGCUGCGGACCCUGGUUCUCAUAUUAAAGCAGAUCAGCCUCCACCAUCAUGCCGUGUCAGUGGCACUUCAGCCUCAGACCUUUUCAUGGCUUCUUGUGCAUGCUGAAAUCAGGCGCUGCAGAUCAUUUUUCCACCUGUUGCUUCAGGUUAUGUUUAUUUAUGCGCCACUUCUGCACAUUUCUGGGAAAUGAACACUGACUAAUAUUGCUGAUAAGCAAUGAGCCUGGCGCCUCUGCAUCAGUGCCUCUGUGGCAGAAUUUUAUAUAUUUUUUUUUCACUCUGAGAGUGGAUGGAUUGGACUGUGAAAAAUUAUGUGUUUGUUAUACAAAGGCUUAUGUGUGCAUUAAAUGCAUCCUACACAUAUGUGUUUACUAUUAAUUAGUCUGCAGUUUAAAAGAAAGAGCAGGCUACCAUUGUUAAUUAACUGUUACAUUUCAGUCAUAUUCUGAAAACAACAACAAAAUCUAACCAAAAUAUGAUGAGCACAAAACAGAAAAGCUUAUUCUGUGACCACAAAGUCACAGUAUUCUGUUGAAAACACUAGUGACAUCCAUCACAAAAGAGGAGGAAAACCAUAUACACACACAGACAUACAGCGGGGCAGUGGUGUCCUAGCGGGUAAGGAAAUGGACGCGCAAUCAGAAGGUUCGACUCCCGAACUGCAAAGGUGCUACUGAGCAAAGCACUAUCGACACACUGUGCUCCCCAGGCGCCUUUUAUGGCUGCCCACUGCUCAUCAAGGGUCAUGGUUAAAAGCAGAGGACACAUUUUUUGUGUCAUCGUGUGCUGUGUUGCAGUGUAUAUCGCUUCACUUUCACUGUACCAGGCCAGUUAUAACAGCAACAGCUGUUGUAAUCUUAAAAUACGAUGAACUGUGGGUGGAUUUUUUUCUUUAGACGGUGCAGAAACACAGUGGUCGUUUCCAAAUGCCAUGUUCCACAUAUCUAACUCCAUGGCCAUGGAAGUCAUGCAUAAUAGAUGACAGUGGUCCAGACCUGCCUUGUGACGAUCUGAGGCAGCAGAUGCACAGAGUAACUCAAAAUGUAAGACAGUCAGACGGGCGGGAAAGAUAAAAAGGAUUGCUGGUUGGUUCUUGAACCAGUUCAGGUUGCAGCAGCCUUUGGGAAGGAGCCAUUGCAUAAAAUAACAAUGGACAAAAGGAGUAAACUUCAGCAGCAAU
rnacentral:lncRNA from 1 species